rnacentral:rRNA from 1 species
UACGUAGGGGGCGAGCGUUGUCCGGAAUUACUGGGCGUAAAGAGCUCGUAGGUGGUUUGUCGCGUUGUCCGUGAAAACUCACAACUCAAUUGUGGGCGUGCGGGCGAUACGGGCAGACUGGAGUACUGCAGGGGAGACUGGAAUUCCUGGUGUAGCGGUGAAAUGCGCAGAUAUCAGGAAGAACACCCGUGGCGAAGGCGGCUCUCUGGUACGUGACUGACGCUGAGACGCGAAAGCGUGGGGAGCAAACAGG